rnacentral:rRNA from 1 species
GGUACUGUAGUUAAUACCUAGAGAUAGUGGACGUUACUGGCAGAAUAAGCACCGGCUAACUUUGUGCCAGCAGCCGCGGUAAUACAGAGGGUGCAAGCGUUAAUCGGAUUUACUGGGCGUAAAGCGCGCGUAGGCGGCUAAUUAAGUCAAAUGUGAAAUCCCCGAGCUUAACUUGGGAAUUGCAUUCGAUACUGGUUAGCUAGAGUGUGGGAGAGGAUGGUAGAAUUUCAGGUGUAGCGGUGAAAUGCGUAGAGAUCUGGAGGAAUACCGAUGGCGAAGGCAGCCAUCUGGCCUGACACUGACGCUGAGGUGCGAAAGCAUGGGGAGCAAACAGGAUUAGAUACCCUGGUAGUCCAUGCCGUAAACGAUGUCUACUAGCCGUUGGGGCCUUUGAGGUUUUAGUGGCGCAGCUAACGCGAUAAGUAGACCGCCUGGGGAGUACGGUCGCAAGACUAAAACUCAAAUGAAUUGACGGGGGCCCGCACAAGCGGUGGAGCAUGUGGUUUAAUUCGAUGCAACGCGAAGAACCUUACCUGGCCUUGACAUAGUGAGAACUUUCCAGAGAUGGAUUGGUGCCUUCGGGAACUCACACACAGGUGCUGCAUGGCUGUCGUCAGCUCGUGUCGUGAGAUGUUGGGUUAAGUCCCGCAACGAGCGCAACCCUUUUCCUUAUUUGCCAGCGCGUAAUGUCGGGCACUUUAAGGAUACUGCCAGUGACAAACUGGAGGAAGGCGGGGAUGACGUCAAGUCAUCAUGGCCCUUACGGCCAGGGCUACACACGUGCUACAAUGGUCGGUACAAAGGGUUGCCACCUCGCGAUAGGGUGCU